AACACAUGAAUAACACAGGUGAGUAGUUGGUUGAUAUGAGCACAUUGGGUAAAGUCACUUAGCUGAACGGUAACAGAGUUCUUUCUCUUUUGCUGUAGAUUCGACGAGGGAAGACAGGACCAGACGAAGGAGUGGAGACACAGAAACAUCGUAGGAGAGGUAAGGAGUCCAGGUAUGUACAAACAAGACCAGACACUUAAGUGCAGGGAGUGAGUGUUUCUUAUAGUGCUGGUGUGAUGAGGUGCAGGUGCUGCUGAUCAGUACUCUGGUGAUUGGGAACGAGUGGGCGGAGCGUGGAGAUCCAGUGACGAUGUGUUGUAAGUGUUGGUGGUGGGAACUGACUCUGUGACACUACCCCCUCCUCCACGGGCGGCUCCUGACGACCGGAUGGGGCGACAACGACGGAGUCUACCUCGACCCCAAAGAGCAGGACGGUCCGGAUGGUCUUGUUGGAACUGUGUUAGAAGAGAGGGGUCGAGGAUGUCGUGACGGUUGACCCAGGAACGCUCCUCGGGGCCGCAGACCUCCCAGUCGACAAGGUAUUCCAGCGCAGGACCCCGUCGUCGAGAGUCGAGAAUCGCCCGCACCCUGUAGAUGUUCUCCUCCUCAGCGAUGUUGGGAGGAGGAGGUACCGCAUCGUCACCGGGAUCUGUGGAGGGAGGAGACAAGAGUUCAGUGUGUGGCUUAAGUAAGGAAACAUGGAAUGAACCGCCAAUGCGGUUACUUUUCUUGAAUCGUAGAUCCCUGAAUUUCUAAGAAAUUCUAAUUGCAUACUAAGAGUGGUCACAUUAAAGGGGUCAUGACAUGAGAAAUCAAAUUUUCCUUGAGCAUGACAUAUAAGAGGUCAUCAUACUAUAAGAAUAUCCUGUAAGUUUUAGAGCUGAAAACUUCCUUGUUAGUCCAGUAAAAGCUUUAAUUGACACCAGACCCAGCAAACGACAGGAUUUACAAAGUGUGGAUCUAUGACGUCAAAGGGCAGCAAGCACCUCCUCUGCAGAAGAAAAUCAACGCCUACUUCAUCACUGCCUGUUUAGCCCCGCCCACCAAUAAAGUGGUGCUAAACCAGAUCGAGCUACCAAGCAAUAAACAUGCCGUUGAGGAUGAGAAAAUAUUGUGCAGUGCCUGGACUCGACAGUAACAACAUGUAAGUAACUGUGUUAAUUCUAAUGCCUGAUCUGAUAUUAAUGAUUCAUGUACAGUCAGAUGAUCUUUGUCUGUGUGUCAGUAAACCAAACCAGUGACUAAAUGUCAACUUGCGUUGUUUCUCUUAGUAGGAUGAAAAUAAUCAGUUAUUUAACGGUGAUUAAAUUAUAUAAAGAAAGCAAUCAAAGAAAGUUCCCUUUGCAAUUGUUGGAGCAGCGCGCGCUGAAGCUGUCAAUCAAACAGCGUGAGUUUAUCAGUGACUGAGGCGCAAAACUCCCGUUUUAUUCAACAAAUCUUUUAGUUAUAUCGCGUUUGCACUGUAAGUGAAUAUGAAAGCAUUUGUUAGUGUACAGAAAUUGAGUUGCAGUGACGAGAUCACUGCUUUCAUGCGCUCAACAUGUCUGUGAUCGACUACAAUGUUCAUCACUGCAACCUUUCAUGACACGAUUUAUAAUGCAACACUUUUCACGAUUAGUUAACCUCAGAGCUGUAAUAGUAAAAACGCGCUAAAAGAGAGAGUAAUACUUGGAUAUUUUCAUAUGCAAAGAUGUCAGCCAAUCACAGCAGUGGGCGUUUACACUGAAGUCUCACAGCAGACACGCCCCUUAAAACAGAGCGUUCAAAUCAGAGGGCUAAAAUCAGGGUAGGAAAAAUGCCUUUUAUUCAUGAAUUAUGACAAUUUUGGACGUAAAAAGAAUACUAACAUUGUAAGUGUACCCCAGAAAACAUUAUAAAACAAUAAACCAACGCAGUUCAUGACCCCCUUUAAGAUUGAAAGUGCACAUUGUAUGCUGGCCCCAAAACCGGGUGCCAAGUAUAGGCCACAGCCACUGAUUGUCCGGUUCCUGUGGUGACAAGCAGAGGGUUCUCGAUGCCAGCAAGAGACGAUUGGUGGAUGGAGAUUUGCGGUAUUAGGACAUCAAAGUAUCAUUCUACCAGAAUUUUUCGGCUUCAGUGAUAUGGAAGAGUAAAGAAUUCAACGCGGUCAAGCAGCAACUUCGAGAUAUGGGUGCUCGCUAUGCAAUGCUGUAUCCAGCCAAGCUAUGAGUCAAUAUUGGAAGAACCCUUAAAGUCUUUGAGACGGCGGCUGCAGUCUCGCAGUACCUGGACAAGAGCGACUCGAACUCCAGCACCUGAUCUUUAUCAGGCUUUCUGACAUGUGGGUAAAAAACUGAUCUGGCUUCAUGCACCGUAAUAUGCAGCGACGUGAGUUCUAGUUUGCAUACUUUAUUUUCUGUUCUCUCUUUUCUGAGUGACUGGGACUGUUUUAAUAACUUUAUUUUGCAUUUUGGGUGUGUAUUACUUUUCUGUAUUGUUGCUACUGGGGAUUCAAAGAGAGAUUGACCUGUUUUUGAGAUGAAGAUCUUUCCCCUUGAUGUGGGGAAAUGGCCCCUUUUUUCUUGUAUUUUUUCCCUUUCUUUCCACAUUGCCAGUUUGGCUUGUUUUACUACAUAUAGAGUAAAAAUGCAUGUUACCUUUAGUGUAAUCCUAGACUGAACAUAAACAAUUACUUUUUAAGACAGCUAUUCUCAUUGCUUUUCCAGAAACGUGUGAGGAAAUUGAAAAUGUGCUGGCAACUGGGAAAAGAUUCGAGUGCCAAAGCUGCUUGAUAAAAGUCCACCAGAGAACAAAACUUCAGAAGGGAAGGAAGCUAAGGAUAAUGCUUUAAGUAACAUGAAAAGACUGCAAGAUGAACUCCAUUAACUGAAAAAUCUAAAAGCCUCAUACUUGUGUUACUUGUAUUUCCAGGCAUCCCAGAAGGCGAGCAUUGAGGAAGGAAAGCAGACCUUUCUGAUGGACAUUUUGAAAAAGAGACAAGCCUUGAAAAGGAAGCAACCACUCUUUCCUCCUCAUUCUACACCCAAAAGGGAAAAAACGUAUUGUGGAUGAGAUAUCAAGUGAGAGUGAAGAUGAACUAAUUCCAAAAUCAAAAUUUGAUGAACUUGAGAACAGAUACAAAUCUCUUGCCCGGAAGUAUCAAGAGGCUAUUGCUGAAGGGAAGGAACUGAGAAAAUUGAAUGUUGAACUUCAAACAUGUUUAGUAGCCAAAAUCCUUUCUGGAAGCAACACAUCUCCACCCUUCAUCCCAGACCUUCCAGUGACAACUGGUUGCAACACCACUGCAGCUACUACAAAAUAGUACUAUUCCUGAACCUGUUGGAAGUACAGAGAGUUUACCUGUAGCUAAGCCAAAUGAGUCCUCCAGUUGUGUGCCUGAACCUGAUAACAGACAUGUCCCUGUUAUUUGCGAACAGCCCACAACCACACUAACAAGCCACAUCACUACAUGAUUAGGGAGAUCAGUUAGGCCACCUAACAGACUUAUCUGUGAAAUUGAUAAUCAACAAAUUGUCAGAAGUGAUUCACACAGUUAAGCUCAAGUUAUUUUUCAAGGAACUAACUUUGUUGAGUUGAUCAGGAACAUUUUUGUGUAAUAUGUCUGAGUGUGAAUGAUGAUUCAUAUCUACGAGUCAAUUGUAAUGUUAAGAGGUAGACACUGAAAUUAGUUUCUAGCAUUGUUGGCACUGAAUAUUUUGAAGAGCAGAGAUACAAUUGUAUUCUCUUGGAGUGUGUAGACUGCACCUCCUAUAGUUUGUGUUAAGUAUGGGACAUGGUACCAUUCCAUUCUUACGCACUUCCUAGGAAGAGAAUGAUUUUCUGUAUUGUAAAACUCUUAUACUCACAUCUGUUUUAUUUUUUUCCUGCAAACUUUACUGUAUAUACUGUUUGUUGCAUAUGCUGGUUCUAGCCCAAUGUAGCAGAAUUUAAGGGGGAUGUAUGUAACGGAGUUUAAAAAUAUUGUUGUUAAUUUCAGCAUAAAUUGGGGAAACUAGCCAUUGGCUGUUGUCACUCGCAUUUGUGCACAUGAUAUUGUGGGGCGGAGCUAUGUAAUCAGAGUCUCAUAGCUUGUCUUGCUGGUAAGUCGCAUCAAUGAUUAGGGAUGUGCCGAACAAAGCUUUUGAAGCAGUAUGGCUUUUACAACAAACUGCAUCGGUGCUUCGAAGCUUUUGAAACAGUGCUCUACUUCACCAUCUGGUGUUCAAUAAAAAUUCCUACCUGUGUCAUUCAGUUUUGCUUGUUGGGAUGUCAUUGUAAGGUUUAUUUGUAGCUAUAUUUAUUAACCAUAUAUGUCAUUAGAAAGAUGGUGGCACGUGUGUGUGCAGCGAAAUUUCAUUGCAUUUUGCACAAUACACAAUGACAAUAAAGACUUUCUGUUCUUUCUUGCAUCAAACUUGUACAUUUUCACCUUCUAAAUAGAUUGUUUAAUACACCAAUAAAUAAGGUCUGUGAUUUUUUCAUUGCA